AACGAACGCUGGCGGCGUGCCUAACACAUGCAAGUCGAGGGAGAAAAGGGGCUUCGGUUCCUGAGUAAACCGGCGCACGGGUGAGUAACACGUAGGUAACGUACCCUGGAGUCCGGGAUAACCAGUCGAAAGGCUGGCUAAUACCGGAUACGACUGAGGUGGCUCCGGCCACUUCAGUGAAAGAUGGCCUCUGUUUACAAGCUAUCGCCCCUGGAUCGGCCUGCGCACCAUUAGCUAGUUGGUGGGGUAACGGCUCACCAAGGCUGAGAUGGUUAGCUGGUCUGAGAGGAUGGCCAGCCACACUGGGACUGAGACACGGCCCAGACUCCUACGGGAGGCAGCAGUGGGGAAUAUUGCGCAAUGGGCGAAAGCCUGACGCAGCGACGCCGCGUGGGU
rnacentral:rRNA from 1 species